CCGCAGCCACGUCCUAUGUAAAAAACAACAACUUUUCUGCCUAUACAGAGCCGCCGAGGAGGAGGAGGGUUCUGGCGGCGGCCGUAGACGCGGACGUUACGGAGGGGACGGGAUCCAGCGACGGCGCUCCGGAUCUGGUCUGGAACGGCCGGAUCUGAUCUGGAGCGAGGCGUCGGCGACUUGGAGGUGGAGGACGCUCGAGCUCUCCUUCUGGAUCGGGUCAACGCGGCGGCUCGAGCGGCUGGGGGCGGCGCGGGUGCUCGAUGCAGAACGGCGGCAGCGGCUGGAUCUGUGGCGACGGCGGCUGGAGCUUGCGAACGGCGGCGGUGGCUGCAGCUGUGGAUUGCUAGCCGCGGCUUCACUGGGGGAGCGCAGCUGCAUAGUCCGUCGCUCGCGUCGCUGCUUCGCCGGGAGGAGCACCGGCUACGUCCCUUGCCAUCCCCACAGUCGCCGCUGCUGCUCCAGACGUUGGUGAUGGAGAAUCGCUCCUUGGUUUUCGUUGCCGCCAGAUCCCCAAUCGCUACCUCGAUCUCGCCAUCACCAGCCCGGCAAGGGCUUCAAUAUCCUCAGAUAUCCACCAGCGAAAAAAGAAGAAGCUCUAGCCCAUGUGGUUGACGGCGUCUCUUGUCUUAUUUGCUUAGCGUAUUUAUGUUUCAUCAGGAUGCAAGUUGCUGCUUGAGGAGUGUUAGAAUUUGUGAAAUACCGAUUUUCUCUUUGCCCCAACAACAUUACUUUGGUACACUCAAAACGCCAGUUGCCAGAAGUAAUAUGUGCUUCCUUUUCACCAAAGAAGAUUUAUACAAUCUGAUCAUCUAUACAUUGGACAGAUAAACAAUAGAAAGGGAACUCAAUCUGAUAUAUUUUUUGUUCAAGUCCAGAUAUAGAAACCAUAGAUUGGUAAAUGCAUCUAAAUUCUAAACUAAAAUUAUGCUUAAUGUGAGAGGAAAGCGAGGUUUUCGCUACAGUACUGAUGGUUAAUAUCAAGUAUAACAGUGAAACUGCACUACUGUUUGUUCGUCGUGUUAUUCAGUUAAAGGUUAAUAUCUCCAAACUUCAUUUUAUCUUUUUGUAGAAGCUCUCGCCUAACAACUUAUUUUCUAGGACUGUUAGUAUUUAACAAAUUUGCAUCUUGAUGUGGCUAAUCGGUGAAGCAAUUCCACUGUAAACAUAAGUGCGUAUGUAGCUCUUUUAUUGCUACUAAAAUUAGUCUGCUCAUUAAAUUUAAAUGCAAUAUCAAUUCACUCUGAAGAGGCUUAUCCUCUUUCACUAACUACAUAUUCGUUUGACCUGUCAAACAAUCCUAAGGAUCCCUUUAAAUUGGUUCUAAAUGUUUAUGCAGCAUCAGUGUUAUAUGGUACCAGAAAACAUGUGGAGAGAAUACUUAGUUCCGUUGAGAAAACAAUAGCUGAACUCUUCUAGGUUUUGUUAGAUCAACUGGCUACUUUGACAGAUUCUUGCGUGGCUGUGACGGGUAGGUACCAUGCCCUCUCCCUCAUCCUUCCUGUACUCCCCUAUCUCUUAUUUGCACACUCCCCACCCAAUUUUUUUCCUUAUUUGCACAUCUGUUAUAACAGCAAUGUGACAUUAUGGUAUGAUAUUUGUAAUCAUCCACUAAUAUGGCACCUUCAGUUCCAAAGUAAAUAGAUUUAUUUGACUCUUUUUUGUUUACAUCCAUCGUGCAGACAAUGAUUAGAGGGAAACAGUAGUGAUAGCCUGACUUAUUGACUUACUUGGGCUUGGUACAGCGCUGCCGUAUACUUAGAGACACUAUGCGAUGCUAGAUUUGGUAUGAUGUGAUGGUGGCUGUGAAUCUGGCAGUGAAGGAGGUCACGACGGAGCGGCUUCUCCAUCAUGGUUUGGAGCCGACCAAGGAAGUUGCAGUUAUACAGAGUGUGAGUGCUUCAGACUUUUGAGAGCUCGAGGAGGAGGGGCGUGUGGAGGUUGUUGCCGUCAGUGCCUGCCCCAGCGGUCUCCAUUGCCUGCUCCGGCCAGAUUCAGUCGGACCUAUCCUAUCGGUUCUCCAUCGCUUCACUCUGCUUCAUGUGCAUCUGGGCAGAGGAGACGAUGACCCGACCUGCCUGGUCGCUCACCACUGCCUCCCAGUCUCUGUUCUUCACCAGUCACACGUACUCUUCCUUAUGUGGUGUUUGAGGCAGGAAGGGUGAUUAGAAUCGAUGAGGAGCAGCAAGAAACAACAACUAUUGCCGGCCUAGCUGCUUAUAGGGACAACCACACGGUGUAUUAGUGUCUCGAUCUAAUUCAUUUAACCACACAUAUACCUUGGAUGACCAGCAAGAAAAAUUUAACCAUUAUACCUGUAAUAUCAAGUGGAUUAUCUUGGGUCUCUCACUCUCUCCAAUCCAUGGAUGAUAUGUGUGGCCCAACUAUUAGCAAUCUUGCAGGUGUAGCUAAUACAAUAAGUUUGCGUUUCACUUCAGAAUUCAGAGGAACUGAACGUUUAUUUUACAGUUCAAACCAAUUACUGGUCUAUUGCAAAA